AUUGAACGCUAGCGGCAUGCUUAACACAUGCAAGUCGAACGGUAACAGGUCUAGCUUGCUAGAUGCUGACGAGUGGCGGACGGGUGAGUAAUGCGCAGGAAUCUGCCUUAUAGUGGGGGAUAACUUGGGGAAACUCGAGCUAAUACCGCAUAUGCCUUACGAGGUAAAGCAGGGGACUUUCGGGCCUUGUGCUAUAAGAUGAGCCUGCGUCGGAUUAGCUUGUUGGUGGGGUAAAGGCCUACCAAGGCGACGAUCCGUAGCUGGUCUGAGAGGAUGAUCAGCCACACUGGGACUGAGACACGGCCCAGACUCCUACGGGUGGCUG
rnacentral:rRNA from 1 species